rnacentral:rRNA from 1 species
UACGGGGGGGGCAAGCGUUGUUCGGAAUUACUGGGCGUAAAGGGUUUGUAGGUGGCUCGCUAAGUCACACGUGAAAUCCCUCAGCUUAACUGGGGAACUGCGUGUGAGACUGGCAAGCUCGAGUGCAGGAGAGGAAUGCGGAAUUCCAGGUGUAGCGGUGAAAUGCGUAGAUAUCUGGAGGAACACCGGUGGCGAAGGCGGCAUUCUGGACUGCAACUGACACUGAAAAACGAAAGCCAGGGGAGCAAACGGG